UGGAAACCAGUGAAGAGCAAAAUCCCCUCUCUGCCCCAGUUUACCUUCCAACCCUCUCUCUUUCGUGCUUUCUUCCUUCCUUCCCUACAGACAACCGAACAGCGACAAUUCUCAGCAAUCCGCUAUUUUGCUUCACUGAGGAUGGGGGAGGGGGAGGAUCUAGUGAAAAGUGGAAAAGCAAAUAGAGAAGCAACAGCGGAAAGAGUAUCGAGUAGGGGAAAGAGAGGUCAUAGUGAGGAGACAGGGUGAAGAAGAGUGUAAGAAAAUCGAAGGAGAGUCAUCGGAGGAGAACUUGCUAAGGAAAACAAACAGAUGGAGGGGGGCAGGUAAUGAGGGGAGAGGGAGCGAGGGGCAGAUGGAGCAACCGAGGGCGAAAACAGGCUGGACGGAAGUUACGGAGCCAGGGCCGGGACGCCCGGGCUUUGGGGCCAGCGACCGGAGACCAAGAGCAGCAGCUCUGAGACUGCUCAGUACAAUGACUCAAGCAGAAAUUAAACUGUGUUCUUUGUUGCUGCAAGAGCAUUUUGGAGAGAUUGUAGAAAAAAUUGGAGUCCACCUAAUCAGAACUGGCAGCCAGCCACUAAGAGUAAUUGCCCAUGACACAGGAACAUCACUGGAUCAGGUAAAAAAAGCCCUUUGUGUCCUCAUCCAACAUAACCUGGUGAUAUAUCAAGUGCACAAACGUGGUGUGGUGGAGUAUGAAGCCCAGUGCAGCCGGGUGUUGCGUAUGCUUCGGUAUCCCCGGUACAUCUAUACUGCCAAGACACUGUACAGUGACACUGGGGAGCUGAUUGUUGAGGAGCUACUGUUGAAUGGCAAAAUGACAAUGUCAGCUGUUGUGAAGAAAGUGGCAGACCGGCUCACAGAGACUAUGGAGGAUGGCAAGACCAUGGACUAUGCUGAGGUGUCAAACACAUUUGUGCGACUAGCAGACACACACUUCGUGCAGCGCUGCCCCUUCGUGCCUGCCACUGAGAAUUCAGACCCUGGGCCACCGCCACCUGCCCCCACUCUUGUCAUCAAUGAAAAGGACAUGUACCUGGUUCCUAAACUGAGCUUGAUAGGGAAAGGUAAAAGGAGGAGAUCAUCUGACGAAGAUGCUACCGGAGAGCCCAAGGCCAAGAGACCAAAACAUACAGCAGAUAACAAAGAGCCCAUUCCAGAUGAUGGGAUUUAUUGGCAGGCCAACCUUGACAGAUUCCACCAGCACUUCCGUGACCAAGGCAUUGUCAGUGCAGUUGCCAACAGGAUGGACCAGACCAGCAGCGAGAUUGUGCGGACCAUGCUCCGGAUGAGUGAGAUUACCACUCCCUCCAAUGCCCCCUUCACCCAGCCAUUGUCUUCCAAUGAGAUCUUCAGAUCCUUGCCUGUUGGCUAUAACAUCUCUAAGCAGGUUCUUGAUCAGUAUCUCACUCUGCUGGCAGAUGAUCCACUUGAGUUUGUUGGAAAGUCUGGCGACAGUGGUGGAGGAAUGUAUGUCAUCAACCUGCAUAAGGCUCUAGGAUCCCUAGCCACAGCCACUCUGGAGUCUGUCGUACAGGAGAGAUUUGGGUCUCGCUGUGCCAGAAUAUUCCGUUUAGUUUUGCAAAAGAAACACCUGGAGCAGAAGCAGGUAGAAGACUUUGCAAUGAUUCCAGCAAAGGAGGCAAAGGAUAUGCUUUAUAAGAUGCUCUCAGAAAAUUUCAUAUCACUCCAGGAAAUUCCCAAAACGCCAGACCAUGCUCCAUCCAGGACCUUCUAUUUAUAUACUGUGAACAUCCUGUCAGCUGCCCGAAUGUUGCUGCACAGGUGCUACAAGAGCAUAGCCAACUUGAUAGAAAGGAGGCAAUUCGAAACCAAAGAGAAUAAACGCCUACUAGAAAAGUCUCAGAGGGUAGAAGCCAUCAUUGCAUCCAUGCAGGCUACGGGUGCAGAGGAGGCACAGCUACAAGAAAUAGAGGAGAUGAUCACAGCCCCUGAACGCCAGCAACUAGAGACCCUGAAACGUAAUGUCAACAAGUAAGCAUCAGAAACUUCAAACCCGUGUUUCAAAAUACCUUCCAGACAAAUCUGCCUCGACUUCCUGCUGCCCCUCCAACUUAACAAGAACAAACCUAAACUCAUUAUCUUCUUCCCCAGGUUGGAUGCCAGUGAGAUUCAGGUGGAUGAAACCAUCUUCCUACUGGAGUCAUACAUUGAGAGCACUAUGAAGAGACAAUGACGCAGAAGAAGAGUCUUCCUCAAAAGAUCUGGGGGUAGAUUAGAUGGAAAAAUAAAGGAGGUGCAUAGAUGCAUUCUUUGCAGUGGAAUAAGUUGCAAAUUUUUGUACUGAAACCCUCUCCCUAUCACUACCACUCAGAAUACAGCAGAAAGAGUUUGACAUUUUUUAAAGUUUGCUGAUCCUGUUUUAAACCCUUCACUAUAUUUUCCCCUCAUCAAAUCUUAACAGGUGAAAAAACCUUAAAUCAAUCAUCUAUCAGAUGCAUCACUUCCCAUCAAGAACAGCCAAGCCUGUAUUUGAACAUCCCUGGCAACAGAAGAGACUUCUUCCUGAGCAGUUCACUCCAUUUUCAAAAGGCUACAUCUGUUCUUUAUUUUGUCAAGCUGUAAUCUUACACACACACACACACACACACACACACACACUCAAUGUAGAGAAUGUGAAAGACUACCACAGAGAGAGGAUAAAAGCUAUUUUCAGGGCCAGCAGGUGGAUUGGCCCAAGCAGUCACACUAGAAUCUAUGGAUAGAAGCCACAUUUGCCAAGGCCACACUUCUAGCACAGCUGAAAUUAUGUAUGUAAAACACUUAGCACAAUGCUUGGCAUAUGGUAAGCACUCAAUAAAUCAUUGCCUUCCUCUUCCCCAUGGUUCCUUACAGUGGCAAUCCUAAGUUCCCUCUCUCAGUACCAUAGAUAGAUGAUUGAUCUAGUUGAUGUAAUUUGUCCCAGUAGCUUCAGUUCAUUUAAAGCAGAUAGUUUUAUAAUCUCUUCAGUUUGCUCUCACCAAUUAGUUCUAAUUCAUUAAACAUUUGAGUGCCAAUUAAUUGCCAGCCACUGUACUACAUAUAAUAAACAAAGAUAAAAAGAUAUCUCUGCCUUCAAGCCACUCACCAUCAUUUCGGGCCUUUGGGAUACAAAGAUGAAUAAGCCUUGAGCAUACAGCCUAGUGGGAGGAGACAACUAAGUACAAGGAUGUACUGGGGGGCUAGCAUGGAAAAGGGUCAGGCAGGAAAGGGAGCACAGAGAAAGUGACACUUAAUCUGUAUUUUGAAGGAUGAGGAUUUGCCAGGUGGAAGAGGAAAAUGAUCCCAGAGGGAAGCAGAGCCUGGUUCUUGGGGGAACUGCAAAUAGGAUAUGACUAGGAAACAGGGCAUAAGACCUGCUAGAAUUGAGGCUGGAGAGAUAGACAGUAGCAAGCACUGGUGGGUCUUUGCUAUGCGGUGCUAAGUAUCUCGUCUUAUGCUGAGAGCAAGGGGAAGCAAAAUGAUCAGAUUUAUGUUUUAGGUCACUCUGGCAGCACUGUAGAGAAUGAAUUGGUAAGGGCAGGACUAUUUGGCGAUUUGCAAUAAUAUUUCAGGCAGAAUAUGAGGAAAGCUUGAACUAGGGCAAUGGAGGCUGGAGAGUAAGACAUGGAUUUGAGGAAGUUUAAGAAGGUAAACUGCACUUGGUUGCCAUUUAAGUAAGAAGAAAGAAAGAGGAGGUGUGAAAAACGUUUCCUGGGUAUCUGGCUAGGAGACAGAUUAAUUCUAGGUGAUACCUGAAACGGAUAGGUGUUAUAGCAGAGCUAUGGACGGGUGC